rnacentral:tRNA from 1 species
GGUGGCUCAGUGAUAGAGCACUUGCCUUGUAUACAUGAGGCCCUGGGUUCAAUUCCCCAGCACCA